GCUGGGCGUGGUGGCGCAUGCCUGUAAUCCCAGCACUUGGGAGGCUGAGGCAGGAGGAUCGCUGUGAGUUCAGGACCAGCCUGGGCUACAGGAGUUCCAGGUCAGCCUCAACUACAUAGUGAGACCCUGUCUCAA
rnacentral:SRP_RNA from 1 species